AUGUCUUCCUCCGGCUCCUCCCAGAUCGGCCUCAACCACCAGGUCACGGAGAAGCUCACCCGUACGAACUACGUACUGUGGCGCGUCCAGAUCACGCCGCAGCUAAGGGGAGCUGGCGUCUUCGGCUAUGCCGACGGCAGCACGCCGGAGCCAGCCUGCUUCCUUCCUGGCAAGGACAAGGACGGCAAGGACUCCACCGAGCCCAACCCUCUCCACCCAAUCUGGGUCCGGGAGGAUCAACAAGUGCUCGGGUACCUGCUCAACAAUCUCUCCAAAGAGGUGUUGGUGCAGGUGACCGCGAUCACCACGACGCACGCGCUCUGGACAACCCUGGCGGCCAUGUUCUCCUCACAGUCGCUUAACCGCAUCAACAACAUCCGCACGGCUCUGCUUCAUGCGCAGAAGGGAACUCAGCCGGUCGCCACCUUCUUCGCCCACAUGCACGGCCUCGUCGAUGAACUCGCCGCGGCCGGCAAACCGCUCCAAGACGACGAGGUCGUCUCCUACAUCAUCCACGCGCUGGACAUGGAGUACCAGCCUCUGGUGUCGGCCCUCGACGCUCGCACCUCCCCCGUCACCCUGGAUGAGUUGUUCACCAUGCUCAGCAACUUCAAUCGGCGCAUGGCACUCUACCAGGGGUCGGGUGGCUUCAAGUCGUCCGCGAACGCCGCCUCUCGUGGCCGCGGCGGCCGCCGCGGCGGCCCUCCGCACGGCACGGCCCGAUCUGGUGGCGGCGGCAACUCCUCCAACCCACGCGCCGGACAUUCCCCCUCCACCAACUCCAACGGACGCGGCGGUGGUGGUGGCCGCGGCUCCAACGGAGCGCGCCUAGAUCUGCGGCAAGCUCGGGUACAGCGCUCGGGACUGCUGGUACCGCUAUGA
rnacentral:rRNA from 1 species